CCACCAACCAUCAGCCAACCAGCCGGGGAGGAGCAGAGAGCCACGGGCAGAGGCGAAGCGCGCCAAUGCGUGGGAACGCGGAGGAGGCGGGACUUGGAGGGAGGAAGCGCCCGAGUAACAUUAAACCACUGUGGAGUGAAACAAUAGUGCGAUUCUUCGUGAGGCGUGACCGUCCUCCCGCACACGCUGUAACCCUGGAUGAGGAAGGGUCGUGUUACUGAAGGAGGAACCAUCAGCGUCACCUCACAAUCCCGUGGCUCCAACAAGAAAACAGGAGGCUUCUCAGUGACGCUGACACAGUCUGACUUGUUUCCAUCUUCAGAGGAUGUGCUCCUUUCUUCUCCGCUGGUUCUCCAUCCUUACAUCAAAUACUGCAAGAGAUUCCUGAUCACUUUGAGAUUACGUACCUACAUUUAUCUACAAACUCUUUGAACUUAUUCAUACCAACAUCAGUGUGGAGGUGUUGGCAUGAACAUAAACUGUGUAACGUCUUUUCUCCUAUCAUCACUAAACUCGGAAAAUAUGUCGAAUUAUAAAAUAUUUGAUUGUUACAAUGACGAUAUGCUCAACUGAUGCCAGCUAGUGCAGGUUUUGAUUUUCAGACCAGAGAAAAUGAAAACACUCACGAGUUUAUGAUCCUCAACAAUCCACCUCAGGAGUUUUGAGAAAUAAAGCCUGGUGGCGUAUUUGUAUUAUUGACCAAAUCCCCACGACUAAACUAAACUCCGCACUCGCUGCCCCGACGUCUUCAGUGUGCUCAGAUAAAAUACAGCCACAGUUUAGUGUAGAGAGAGUUGUGGAGCAGAACGUUUUCAAGAUAAAAAACAAAAAACAAACAAAAAAAAACAACUGUGAUUGACGGGUGUCAGAAACAAAGAUUAGCUUACGCUGAGUUGCCAGUUCAUUAGGUACGUCUUGCUGCAGUCUAACAGACCAGCUUUGUAAUGAAUCCAUAGUGACGUUUAGUUUUUGUUGAAACAAAGGUGUUGACUGAAGUUCCCUGGCAUCAUGUUGAUGCAGGUAGUUUGUGUUGCACAUGAAAAGCUUCAUUAACUGAUUUAGUUUGGAACAUUUACUUGAAUGAGUUCAUUCAUUUGUGUUUAAGCUCAUAUAAAUGUAUUCAACAUGUUUGUUUCCUAAAGAAUCACUGUGUAAUUGCUAUUCUUUAUUCUUUGUAUACAAAAGUCUCUAAGAUCUAAGUCACAAAUUGAAAGUGUGUUUUUCUCAGAAAUCCAAACAGUGUAACUUUAACGUCAGCUCUGUACAUUUUCUCUUGGAGACGGCUGCUCAGUGAUCGAUCAUGCAUCUCUUAACUGCACAGCUUGUUAUUUAGAGUCUCCACAGAUACCUCUCAUGACCUUAUAAAUGCAAGGAGUUUCUUAUACAUCCUUUCUGGCGUUUUGUUUCCCCAUUUAGUGACAAACGGUGACAUAACAGACACUGAUUUAGAGAAACAUCUUCCUGAUUGCAGGAAUCUCUGGUAAUAUGAUUUAAAAAUAUAUUUAAAAAAACACAUUUUCUCUGAGCAUUAUAAUCUUGACAGGAUUUACUGCAGGGCUGAUGUGUUACACUGCAUUAAACCGUGCGUACCUGAUAAACCGACAGCUGAGUGUAUGUGUUGCAGACUCCAGGCGAGUCCAGGAAUGAACCAAACAUUAGUACAACCGUGUCCUCUUGUUUAAGCAAAAAGAAUUUGGUUUAUGUAGAAACAAGCAAUGUUUUGCAAUCUGAUAUUUCCCUCUCCUUCAAAAGAGUUAAAGCUAAAAUGAAAGAAAAAAAAGAAAAAAGUAAUGAAUACCCACACCCACCCGCCCUCAUUGCACCCAGAACUGCCACCUUCUGAAAACGUUUGCAGGCGUUACUGACAGAAAGCAAAGAAACCCUGGGUGACAGCUCACAAGGGAGAUAGAUAUAAGUGUACAGCACAUAUAUAUAUAAAAUAUAAUAUCUGAAAUAAUGUAUAUGUAUAUAUAUAUAUCACAUAUAUAUACAUAUACAUGUAUUAAAUUGUGUUAGGGUUCAGUAUCUGUCACUCCACAGCAUUAAGUUGGUGUGUCUGAUUAUUUUUCUUCCUUCAUUUUUUUUUUUUCAAAUCCUUAUUAUAUAGACCAGAGGAGAGUCAAAGCAAAACAAAUGAAUCAACGAACAAACAAAUGUGGGGAGGGGAGGGGGGACUAAGCAACAGACGAAAGGCCUCCGCCUCUAUCUGAUGUCCCCGUCUCCCCGGCGCCCCCCCACCCUCACCCCCGCCCAGUGGAGGGGUGAGCUCGCCCAGACGAGGUGGGACAGACCCGUCCAGCUGUACAGCGCAGUUAAACAUAACUUACAUAUUAGCUCUCUCUUUUUUUUUUUUUUUUUUUUUUUUUUACACGUACAGUCGUGAUCAAGGCACAGGGAUCUUCUACAAGUUAUUUUUUUUUUCUUCAAUAAAGUUGUACAAAAUAAUACAUUUUACAGUCUGUACAAGAAUAAUAGUCCAGCAGUAAAAUAAAAGACAGACGUACUUAAAGCCGGGGUGGGGGAGGAAGUACGAGAGGUGAGAGGACAAGACGAGAGGUAAAAAGGGGAGAGGGUGGUUGUUGUUGUUGUUGUUGUUGUGUGGAUAAGGAGGGGGAUCGACGAGAGCUAGAGCGCGUGUGUGUGUGUGCGCGUGUUAGUGUGUCUGUGUGUGCUCCCAGGUAAAAGUGUUGCGUCCAGUCUCGACAAGUCCUUAACGUCAUGCUUCCUUUUUGAUUUUUUUUUUUCAUCUCCUCGUUAAAUAAACCCUCUCCUUUUAUUUCCCACAUGUUGAAUAGUUGUUAUAGCAGCAGGGGCAAGAGGGGCAUAUAUUGGUGUGUGUGUGUGUGUGUGUGUGUGUAGAGAUGAGGGGAGGGCAGGGGCCUAAAUGGUGCACAAAGGCAGAUCACGCACACAGUGUACACCGACACACAACAUAGGGAAAAAAACAAAAACUUAAAAGUUGAAUUGUGUUAUUACAGGAAUAUAUAAUAUUUAUAUUUAUAUAUAUACAUAUUUAUAUACACACAUAUAUAAAUAUCUAUAUAUAUAUAGCUUGGAUUUUUUGCACUGCAUUAAGUUCACUGGUAUGCAUGAAGUUAUGCAUUGUAUAUUUUUUUUAAUCCUUUUUUUUUGUCGUUCUCUGCCAUCCCUCCUUUCGUGAAGAGCAGGUCAUGUGAGCCAUGUGGUCUUAUGUUCGAGUCACGCUCACGUCCACAGGCAGCCAUUAGUCAAUUAGUCCGUCUCUCCGCUCCUCCAGGGGCGCAAAAAAUAAAAAGGCUUACAGCCCCUGCUCUGUGUCAGUUUGCUGCCCUCCGUGUCCCUUCUCUCUCUCUUUCUUCUUCUUCUUCUCUGCCUUCCUUCGUCGUCAGCACGCGGUGAAUAAACUCCCCUCUCUCUCAGAAUGAAAUUCACUUCAGCCUCUGCUGCCGACUGUGAAAAGCAGGUUUUUAAAACGACCAUUAUGCAUAUGUGUGUGUGUGUGACUGCGAUAUUAAAACCCACCUAUGGGUCUGAACGUCUUAUUAUCCGUAGUAGUGUGUGUACCUGCGAGUAUCUGUGUGUGGAUAUAUAUCUGAGAGAGAGCUAAAAGGAGAGAUCGUCUACACUGAGGGAUUCCAGUCCCGACCCUCUGUCCCGGGUCAAAGUGUAGCUGGAGUACAGUCGUCUGUCCAGGUCCAGAAUAAUAGUUGAUCAAACUGUUGUUGGUGUAGCCGUCAUUUUUU